UACGAAGGGGGCUAGCGUUGCUCGGAAUUACUGGGCGUACAGCGCACGUAGGCGGAUUGUUAAGUCGGGGGUGAAAUCCUGGAGCUCAACUCCAGAACUGCCUUCGAUACUGGCGAUCUCGAGUCCGGGAGAGGUGAGUGGAACUGCGAGUGUAGAGGUGAAAUUCGUAGAUAUUCGCAAGAACACCAGUGGCGAAGGCGGCUCACUGGCCCGGUACUGACGCUGAGGUGCGAAAGCGUGGGGAGCAAACAGG
rnacentral:rRNA from 1 species